rnacentral:lncRNA from 1 species
ACCUUGUCAAUAAUGUAGAGUGGUGAACACGCUUAGAGAUUAUAUAACUAAAGCUUUCAUCAACACUGUGGAUCACUUGGGCUCCAUGACUUAUAAGGUCAAUAGUCUCCUGGAUGACAAGAUUGGGGAAGCUUCUGCAAUUGACCUUAGAUUCUCGUGUUCAACAGGUGUGCCAUAUAACUAGGUUUUCCUUGUAUUAUAGCAUUAAGAAUGAGAAGGGCUUGCAUACCCUAUGAUCUACCAUGUGC